GACGAACGCUGGCGGCGUGCUUAACACAUGCAAGUCGAACGGAAAGGCCCUGCUUUUGUGGGGUGCUCGAGUGGCGAACGGGUGAGUAACACGUGAGUAACCUGCCCUUGACUUUGUGAUAACUUCAGGAAACUGGGGCUAAUACCUGAUAGGAGCUCCUGCUGCAUGGUGGUGGUUGGAAAGUUUCGGCGGUUGGGGAUGUACUCGCGUCUUAUCAGCUUGUUGGUGGGGUAGUUGCUUACCAAGGCUUUGACGGGUAGCCGGCCUGAGAGGGUGACCGGCCACAUUGGGACUGAGAUAAGGCCCAGACUCCUACGGGAGGCAGCAGUGGGGAAUAUUGCACAAUGGGGGGAAGCAUGAUGCAGCAACGCCGCGUGCGGGAUGACGGCCUUCGGGUUGUAAACAGAUGUCGCCUGUGACGAAGCGUGAGUGACGGUAAUGGGUAAAGAAGCACCGGCUAACUACGUG
rnacentral:rRNA from 1 species